UUGGUAAAAAUACAACUAACUGACUGGUAAAAAAUUGUUAUUGCCCACCUACCCACCCCAUUCUGUUAGGUGUAGGCCAAUAAAUGUAUUUGAAGUUUUUGAUGUUAAAAAUUUUUGCAACUUCUGAAGUUCAUUUGAGAUAAAAAUACGUUAGUAGUUUAGAAUUUAUUUUGUUUAGGCAAUAGAUACUGCUCUGUUGAUUUAAUCUGUAGGAAGAUUGUCAUAGCCUUAUUGAUGUGGAUGAACUGGUACAAUCAAGACAAUGUCCGAGAGGCAAUGGCAACAAGGAAUCCUAAUGAGGAAAAGAUCCAUUCCUGAGCAUCGUGACGUUGUGUACGUAGUAAAGAUUAAGUAACUGUCUGCAGAUUACCCGGGAUGGUCCAUUUUAUAUAAUUGCUGAAUUUGAUUGAUGAUUGACUGAUUUGUUGUUGAUGCUCAAGUGGGUGUGCCAAUGUUGUGUUGAUUUGUUUGGCGACCCACGAAUAUUGCCACGACAAUAUUAGCCACAUACAAAUAAAUAAUUGUUAACUUU